GCACAAGCGGUGGAGCAUGUGGUUUAAUUCGAAGCAACGCGAAGAACCUUACCAGGUCUUGACAUCCCUGACAACCCGAGAGAUCGGGCGUUCCCCUUCGGGGGACAGGGUGACAGGUGGUGCAUGGUUGUCGUCAGCUCGCGUCGUGAGAUGUUGGGUUAAGUCCCGCAACGAGCGCAACCCUCGACCUUAGUUGCCAGCAUUCAGUUGGGCACUCUAAGGUGACUGCCGGCUAAAAGUCGGAGGAAGGUGGGGAUGACGUCAAAUCAUCAUGCCCCUUAUGACCUGGGCUACACACGUGCUACAAUGGGCGGUACAAAGGGUCGCGAACCCGCGAGGGGGAGCCAAUCCCAAAAAGCCGCUCUCAGUUCGGAUUGCAGGCUGCAACUCGCCUGCAUGAAGCCGGAAUCGCUAGUAAUCGCAGGUCAGCAUACUGCGGUGAAUACGUUCCCGGGCCUU
rnacentral:rRNA from 1 species